rnacentral:lncRNA from 1 species
GACAGCGCGCAUGGAUACGCCUGGUCCACUGUGCACAUGGAACAGUUGGAAGCAGACAAGCCUGUCAUCAAUCCUGCUGCUUCUUCGCCUAGCUUCGAGUGAAAACGCGGGUUCUGACCAUCUGCUUCCACCAAGUUGGCAGACUGUCACUUGUGAACAGUGCAAUAACUCUUGUGUCGAUCUGGUCAAGCAAAAACCCAGUAUGAUACCAAGAGAGUUAUUACGUCAGUAAUAGCUGGUCCAAAUAUGCAUCUUCUCCGCUACUGUAAUUACAGCAAACACCUUCAGCGCACCUUUCCGUGGUGUAUGAUGCAGGAGCUGAUGGUCGAAGUCGAGGUGAGAGCCGCACACAACGUGGUGGAAGCAUGUGCCCAGGUGGACACCAUCGAGAGGGUGGUGUUCACGUCGUCGGUGACCGCGGUCGUUUGGAAAGAAAACCGCAAGCUAGCGGCGGACGUCGACGAGAGGGAAUGGAGCGAGCCCAACUUCUGCAGAAAGUUCAAGGUAACCUUCUUCUUCCUCCUCCAUAAGACCUCAGCACCAUAUUCUAUGUAAGGCAAUGCCCUCGUGGUUGACGGCAGCUUUGGCACGCGUUGGCAAAGACGUUAGCGGAGAAGACGGCGUGGGCGCUGGCAAUGGACAGGGGCGUCGACAUGGUCUCCGUUAACGCCGGGCUCCUAACGGGGCCGGAGAUCUCCGUCAGCAACCCCUACUUGAAGGGGGCUCCGCAGAUGUACGAAGACGGCGUCUUGGUGACGGUGGACAUCGACUUCCUCGUCGACGCCCACAUCGCCGUCUACGAGGGCCCCUCCGCUUACGGACGUUACCUCUGCUUCAGCAACGUCGUCUGCCGCCCCCCUGACGCCGUUAAGCUCGCCCAGCUGGUCUCCCCCGAUGCCCCUUCGUCUCCCCAAAGGUCUGCCUUCUAUAGUCGACAUUAUUCUAUCAGACCUCCGACGUUGCCUAAUGCUGUGCGUUGAAUGGCUUACAGUAAUGAGUUGAAGGUGAUAGCGCAGCGGAUUCAGAACAAGAAGCUGAGCAAGCUGAUGGUGGAUUUCGACGUGCGGAUACAGGUGGAGUAGUAGACAGCCGUCCGUUUUGCUUCUGAUGGUUGGAGAUGUGGAAAUGCUGUGUGGAGUCUUUUAAGUCAUCAUCAACUGUGUAUAUGUAGAGUGCUCCCUGGUUUCAAAUAUCCAAAAGAAAGAGUAUAUGUUGAUUGGAUUUGCAUAAAAUUGGCAGAUGAUUGAAUUGUUUUACCAUUGAAA